rnacentral:rRNA from 1 species
AUGCUAACCGAGUAUUUUGAAGCAAACAAGAAGUAUGAGUUGGCCCGGGGAAUUUUAUAUAAGGAUUUUCCGGCAUCUUUUGUUUGGAUCUCGGGUGGAAAGUAUUGGAAAAGGAGGGAUGAAUGCACACAGAUCGGGAGAAUUGUGUCUGCUCAUCCAGCCGAAGGGGAGAGGUAUUAUCUUAGAGUGCUUCUAAACCAUGUCACAGGUGCUACAUCUUUCCAAGACCUAAGGACAGUGGAUGGUAUUGUUUUCCCGACAUUUCGUGAAGCUGCUGAAAGGAGGGGUCUUAUCGAGUCAGAUAAUACUAUUGACGAGUGUCUUAAUGAAUUUGAGGUUUUUCAGAUGCCAUCUUCCCUUUGA